UUUCCGUAGGUGAACCUGCGGAAGGAUCAUUACAGAGUUCAUGCCUGUAAGAGUAGAUCUCCCACCCUUGGGCAUUGGUACUAUGUUGCUCUGGCGAGUGCAUGCUCGCCAAAUAAUACCAAAACUCUUUUUAUUAAAGUUGUCUGAGUACUGUAUAAUACUUAAAACUUUCAACAACGGAUCUCUUAGUUCUG
rnacentral:misc_RNA from 1 species